GCGGGUGUAGCUCAGCCGACAGAGCGCAUCCUUGCCAAGGAUGAGGCCGCGGGUUUGAAUCCCGCCACCCGCACCA
rnacentral:tRNA from 1 species